rnacentral:rRNA from 1 species
CGGAACGGGUGAGUAACGCGUGAGGAACCUGCCUCAAAGAGGGGGACAACAGUUGGAAACGACUGCUAAUACCGCAUAACGUAUCGGGAUGGCAUCUUUCUGAUACCAAAGAUUUUAUCGCUUAGAGAUGGGCUCGCGUCUGAUUAGAUAGUUGGCGGGGUAACGGCCCACCAAGUCGACGAUCAGUAGCCGGACUGAGUGGUUGAACGGCCACAUUGGGACUGAGACACGGCCCAG